ACUGCCUGCGCAGCUCCGGCCACCUGGCUCCGCGUCCGAGCCUCCUGGAACGACAUUUGGAGUUCUUACAAGAUGGCCGACAUUGACAACAAAGAACAGUCUGAACUUGAUCAAGAUUUGGAAGAUGUUGAAGAAGUAGAAGAAGAAGAAACGGGUGAAGAAACAAAAAUCAAAGCACGUUAGCUAACUGUUCAGAUGAUGCAAAAUCCUCAGAUUCUUGCAGCUCUUCAGGAAAGACUUGAUGGUCUGGUAGACACACCAACAGGAUACAUUGAAAGCUUGCCUAAGGUAGUCAAAAGACGAGUGAAUGCUCUCAAGAAUCUUCAGGUUAAAUGUGCACAGACAGAAGCCAAAUUCUACGAGGAGGUUCAUGAUCUCGAGAGGAAGUAUGCUGUUCUCUAUCAGCCUUUAUUUGAUAAUCGAUUUGAGAUCAUUAAUGCAAUCUAUGAACCUACAGAAGAAGAAUGCGAGUGGAAACCAGAUGAGGAGGAUGAAGUUUCGGAGGAGCUGAAAGAAAAGGCCAAGAUUGAAGAUGAGAAAAAGGAUGAAGAAAAAGAAGACCCGAAAGGAAUUCCUGAAUUUUGGUUGACAGUGUUUAAGAAUGUUGACUUGCUCAGUGACAUGGUUCAGGAACAUGAUGAACCUAUUCUGAAGCACUUGAAAGAUAUUAAAGUGAAGUUUUCGGAUGCUGGCCAGCCUAUGAGUUUUGUCUUAGAAUUUCACUUUGAACCCAAUGACUAUUUCACAAAUGAAGUGUUAACAAAGACUUACAGGAUGCAGUCAGAACCAGAUGAUUCUGACCCCUUUUCUUUUGAUGGACCAGAGAUUAUGGGCUGCACAGGGUGCCAGAUAGAUUGGAAAAAAGGAAAGAAUGUUACUUUGAAAACCAUUAAGAAGAAGCAGAAACACAAGGGACGUGGGACAGUUCGUACUGUGACUAAAACAGUUUCCAGUGAUUCUUUCUUUAAUUUUUUUGCUCCUCCUGAAGUUCCUGAGAAUGGCGAUCUGGAUGAUGCUGCUGAGGCGAUACUGGCUGCAGACUUUGAAAUUGGUCACUUUUUACAUGAGCGCAUAAUCCCAAGAUCAGUGUUGUACUUCACUGGAGAAGCAAUCGAGGACGAUGACGAUGAUUAUGAUGAAGAAGGUGAAGAAGCUGACGAGGAAGGGGAAGAAGAAGGAGAUGAGGAAAAUGAUCCAGACUAUGACCCAAAGAAGGAUCAGAACCCAGCCGAGUGCAAGCAGCAGUGAGCAGUGACUGGCCUUGAGGACGGCCGCCCUGGCCUACCUUCUGCUUUCCUGGAAAAGAUGAAUAUACAUC